CGAAGACGUAGUUUCCCUGUAGGAGGUGUGUCAAGUGGUUGAGGAGAAGAUCGGCAUCUUCUAAACAGACUUAAAAACCGAGUGAAGAAGGGCAUUUCCAGAUGGUGCGUCUUAUAUUAAUAUGUAGUUGGUGCCAAUCCAAUUUGGUUGAAACGCCUCAAUAAAGAACAGAUAUUGCUCUAUACAGACCAACUUGGAAGUUGAAAUUGGAUUAGUAAUGGAAACCAAACACACUGUCUAACUACCAGCCAUUUAUCUUUAGGAAUAGAACAUUCCCACAUAUGUGGGUCAGCUGUGUCCAGGGAAAUGCCAUAAAAAGGACCUUAUAUGGCGUUAUGGAGAGAGAGGAUUUCAGAACUGGCAUUUGAAUGACAUAGAUGCAUGUGGAUUGAAGCUUCAAUAUGGAAGAAUGUAAAGCUGGAAUUAAGAGCUACCAAUGCUGGGGGAUCACAGUCAGAAACAGUGUCAGGCCACAUACAUAUGGCCCGAGACAGCAAUACUGUAAUCUCAGAAAACCAAACUAAGUGUAUUACACUAGGUGGACAGUGCUGUAUGUCUCUCUAUUGUUUGCUCUCUUGAAUGAUUGUGUAACAAUCAUUUAUAUACUCGGAGGAAGAACCCAAACCUGUGAUUGAUAACUGUAAGAAAAUGCCCAUUUCUAUACCAGUCAUAUAUCACUGCUUUAUAGUCCUGAAUAAUCAAUAGCCACCAAUUUAAGGAAGGAACAUUUAGUCUUGGCAGAGCACGCUUCUGUUACUGUCUACAUAUUCAGAAACAUGCAAAUACACAAACUUGUACAUACCUUUGUGUGCGCUACAUGAAUCUAUUCCAGAUUGUGUGCCAGCAGCUGGUUCUCCUGUAAAGUACUACACUAAAUAUUAUUUAAAAAUU